GGGGAAUAUUGGUCAAUGGGCGCAAGCCUGAACCGGCGACGCCGCGUGAGUGAUGAAGGCCUUCGGGUUGUAAAGCUCUGUGGAGAGGGACGAAAACAGUUUGGUCGAAUAGGCCAAGCUCUUGACGGUACCUCUUUAGCAAGCACCGGCUAACUCUGUGCCAGCAGCCGCGGUAAGACAGAGGGUGCGAGCGUUGUCCGGAAUCACUGGGCGUAAAGGGCGCGUAGGUGGCGCGACAAGUCGGUGGUGAAAGUUCGACGCUCAACGUCGAAUCGGCCACCAAUACUGUCGGGCUCGAGCACUGUAGAGGCUAAUGGAAUUCCGGGUGUAGCGGUGGAAUGCGUAGAGAUCCGGAAGAACACCGGUGGCGAAGGCGGUUAGCUGGGCAGUUGCUGACACUGAGGCGCGACAGCGUGGGGAGCAAA
rnacentral:rRNA from 1 species